ACAUCCUUAAAUUUAUUCACAGUGUUAAUACAAUUUGCAGGAUAAUUUAUACUUGCAUUUUGUAAAUAUAGUUCAGGUGUGUGUAUAAUGGGACGAUUAUUGAUGUGUUUGUGCAGGGAGAAAGAGAUUGAAAAUGGAGCUUCAAGAUGAAUUCUAGAAGCAGCACCGCCUCUGACUGUGAGGAAAAAUAGGCAAACCUUUAAUUCUUUCUGGUUCUUGAUUUCUUUUUAAGACUUGUCAGCUAAAGAAAGUGAGGAGGCUUGAACCAAGGCCAAUGUAAUUUUUUCUACCCGAAGGAAGCCUUCAAGCUGCCUGGCUCUGAGAGAGAACGCUGACGGUGGGGUUGGAUGAGGCUGACUGUUCAUCAGCAUACGACUUCUUUAAGGACAGCCCAUUUGUCUGGAGGAAUGAUCCACAUUUCAUGGGGCCACUCUGGGAAGCAACACUCGUCCGGUUCCAGAAGAACAAAAUCACAGCGUGACAUUGAAUCCUGGCAGGAACGUGGGGGGAACUUAACCAUCUGCCUAGGAAAGUGUGGAGCUUCGGCACUGCCAAAAUCUGGGCUGGGCGAAUCCUGAGGCUGGCCAGGCGCUGCGCUGCCCCACAGAUAGCCCCUUCCCAUCCCUGAAGGCCAGGGAGAUGGAGCUUGGAUCUGGAAUAAGAUGGAUUCUUAAUGAUGCUUACUGAAGGGCUUUAUUGAGCAGGCUAUGCAAAUACACACGAAGGAGGAAAGGUAAAAAACAGAAGCCACACACUGGAAGAAAUUUUGCUUUUUAGGCGAUAGGUUUGGUAAGCAGAUUGCAUUCAGUAAACAUUCUUCAGAAUCCCGAA